GACCUACGGGGGGCAGCAGUGGGGAAUAUUGCACAAUGGGGGAAACCCUGAUGCAGCGACGCCGCGUGAGCGAUGAAGUAUUUCGGUAUGUAAAGCUCUAUCAGCAGGGAAGAAAAUGACGGUACCUGACUAAGAAGCCCCGGCUAACUACGUGCCAGCAGCCGCGGUAAUACGUAGGGGGCAAGCGUUAUCCGGAUUUACUGGGUGUAAAGGGAGCGUAGACGGCGGUGCAAGCCAGAUGUGAAAGCACGGGGCUACACCCCGGGACUGCAUUUGGAACUGGGCUGCUAGAGUGUCG
rnacentral:rRNA from 1 species